GCACGGGCCGGAUGUGCCUAAAGGCCCAAGGCUUGCAGCCUGAAGAAGAGCUCGCGUCUGAUUAGCUAGUUGGUGGUGUAAGGGACUACCAAGGCGACGAUCAGUAGCUGGUCUGAGAGGAUGAUCAGCCACACUGGGACUGAGACACGGCCCAGACUCCUACGGGAGGCAGCAGUGGGGAAUUUUCCGCAAUGGGCGAAAGCCUGACGGAGCAAUACCGCGUGAGGGAGGAAGGCUCUUGGGUUGUAAACCUCUUUUCUUAGGGAAUAAGAUAUGAAGGUACCUAAGGAAUAAGCAUCGGCUAACUCCGUGCCAGCAGCCGCGGUAAUACGGAGGAUGCAAGCGUUAUCCGGAAUGAUUGGGCGUAAAGCGUCCGCAGGUGGUUUGUCAAGUCUGCUGUCAAAGAAUGAGGCUUAACCUCAUCAAGGCAGUGGGAAACUGAGAGACUAGAGUGCGUUCGGGGCAGAAAGAAUUCCUGGUGUAGCGGUGAAAUGCGUAGAGAUCAGGAAGAACACCGGUGGCGAAAGCGUUCUGCUAGGCCGCAACUGACACUGAGGACGAAAGCUAGGGGAGCGAUGGGAUUAGAUAUNGNAGUAGNCA
rnacentral:rRNA from 1 species